AGUGAACGCUGGCGGUAGGCCUAACACAUGCAAGUCGAACGGCAGCACAGUAAGAGCUUGCUCUUACGGGUGGCGAGUGGCGGACGGGUGAGGAAUACAUCGGAAUCUACUUUUUCGUGGGGGAUAACGUAGGGAAACUUACGCUAAUACCGCAUACGACCUACGGGUGAAAGCAGGGGAUCUUCGGACCUUGCGCGAUUGAAUGAGCCGAUGUCGGAUUAGCUAGUUGGCGGGGUAAAGGCCCACCAAGGCGACGAUCCGUAGCGGGUCUGAGAGGAUGAUCAGCCACACUGGAACUGAGACACGGUCCAGACUCCUACGGGGGGCAGCAGUGGGGAAUAUUGGACAAUGGGCGCAAGCCUGAUCCAGCCAUACCGCGUGGGUGAAGAAGGCCUUCGGGUUGUAAAGCCCUUUUGUUGGGAAAGAAAAGCAGCAGGUUAAUACCCCGCUGUUCUGACGGUACCCAAAGAAUAAGCACCGGCUAACUUCGUG
rnacentral:rRNA from 1 species